UCGCAACGGAAGCCAGCUCCCUUGUGAAAGUCCUGCCUUGGCCCCUCCCGCGCACGCGUGGGGCUGAGAAGGCAGCCACAAUAACGAGGCCAUAUGUUACCAGUCCUCCUCAUGCCGUGUUUGAUGUCCAGAUGCCAGGAGCGGAGAGAGCCGCUCCUCCGUCUCAGAAAGCCCUAUCUCUGGCUGACGCAACCAUCACUCUUCUCCAGCAGGGGGGGGGUGGCGGUGGGAGGGUGUUGAGCACUGGUGACUCGGUAGCCUCGGUGCUCCGUUCCCGGAGCGGGCGACUGCGGUUCGCGCUCGCCACGGGGGGGCCCAGUGCUAGAGCCUGGGCACCACUCGUCAGAUGGCACGGGAGGCUAAUGAGACUUCAUCAUCCUGUCCCACAACAUUUGGGGGCGAGCCGCACUGAACACAGAGUCCGGGUCGGCAGCCAAGCCCGACAGCGAACAGAUUCACCCAGGGGCUAGACAUGACGGAAGAGACGAGGGACAGAGGGAGGCUAGAGGAAGGGAAGGCCAAGAUGGGAGAGGCCAAACGGAGUGCUGCUCCGGUGCCACUGUUCGAACGGAUACGAGUGAUGCCGACGUGAAUAGGAAGGAAAAUUAGUGAAUCAUCUGGGUUUUUUUUUUUUUUUUCACCAUUUCAAAAUGUUGUUAGGGUUUGACACUUUAACAGCAUUGUAUUCAGGCAGGCCCUCUUUUCCCCCUUGAACACAGACAUGACAUCAGGGCUGUACGUCUGCACUGAUGAAUGAGCUUAUGUAGAUGACUCUGGUUGUGGUCCUAUUCUUCAAAUGCUAGUCGACUAUUUUAUGAAUACGCGAGGCUCACUUUGUAUGUGCGGAAGGUAAACACAUGACUUUGGGGAUAAAGCUCGGGUUACGAUCGAGGCGAUAAAGAUCCCUGAGAUGACUCAACCGUUUAAAGCCUUCCACCGCAGCCGCUAAAUCUUCGCUCAUCUUCCCCCUGUCAUUUUCAAAUAUUGGCCAAAUUGUAGGUGUUUUAAAAGGCUUGAGAUGUAAUCAGCUGCUAAGCACUGGUAAUUCCCCCUAUAAGUGAGGCUUAUAAAAGAGAUUAGGCGGGUUUAGAUCAGACAUCUCGCCUCUGAGGUAGCCGGGCUCUGUCGCCAUGGAGAAAGGGCCCCCGACUCUCUCCAGCAGUGGCAGGGAGGAAAGCUGGACAGCACUGGACUGCACCAUGUGUUCAGCCUUAAGGGAGCACAG
ensembl:lncRNA